UCCUCACUAAGCCCCUCAGACUUUCUAGUGUCCAGAAACUCCCAGCACGCGGGCUGCUCUCUGCGCAUGCGGGCUGCUCUCUGCGCAUGCGGGCUGCUCUCUGCGUUCUCUCAGGGAUGGCUCCCUAGAGACUCAAUGCUACAGCAGGGAGAGGCCAAGAGUCCAAAGGAGUGGCUAGGAAAUGCAGCCUGUCCUCUGCAUCCUGCAGUGAAGGAAGUGGCUGACCCCGCAUCCGCCUGAGCUCACGCAUGCAUCCUCAGUACCGCAGGAACCACGGGAAGUUUUUAAAAAGAUUUAUUUUUAAAUUUCAUUUUAGAUGUGUGAGUGUUUGCCUGCAUGCAGUGUGUGCACUGUGUGAGUGCAGUGCCAGCAGAGGCCAGAAGAGGGCGCCGGGUUCCCUGGGAUGGAAGUUUCAGGUGGUUAGGAGCCACCAUACGUGGACUGUGGGAACUGAACUGAGGUUCUUUGCAAGAGUAGCCACUGCUCCUAACCGCUGAGGUCUCUCUCCAGGCCCUGCUGGAACAUCUUAAGCAAAUCAUUGAAAAGUCUCACUAGACACUGCUUAGUGAGCUGUUGGAGGUCCCACUGAGUAAGUGUGCCCUGCAAGCACUCAGGCUGCCUGGAGUGGCCUGCUUUAUGUUCCUUGGAGACUUUCAACUUCCAUAGGGUUAGAGGUGACAGCUGUGUCACUUACGUGUGGCACAAUGUCUGAUGAAUGGAAAUUGCACAGAUGGGGCCAAAGAAUGACCUAGUGUAUUUGUGUACUUCAUUUACACACACACACACACACACACACACACACACACCACCUAUACACACACUCACACAUCACACACUCACACACAUCCCAUAUAUACUCUAUAUAUAUAUAUAUAUAUUAUACACACACACCACUUAUACACACAUCACACACUCACACAUCACACACACAGUCACACACAUCCCAUAUAUAUUCACACACACACACACACACACACACACACACACACACACAGUCACACACACACAGCAUUUGGGAGGUGGAGUCAGGAGGACAGGAGCUCAGACCCAGCCUUAGCUGCAGAGCAUGUUGUGUGAGACCCUGUCUCAAAACAGUUUCUUUUUCUUGUUCUUUUCUUUUUUUGUUCAAUUUGUAGGUCGACAGCCAUUAAAGUAGGCAUGUAUGAGCUCAUGUGUGUUUAAGAGUUGCUGGCAAGAUUCAGUGCCCAGAAGUCACUUACCGGGGUACAGCAAGGCCAUCUUCCAGUCUGCAACAGAACAGAUUCAAGACUGUAGCGAAGCUGGUCCAAGCAAGGAUGACCAAUAAUAUGGGGAGAAUACAAGCCAGGGCUACUUUCCAUGGAGACGUCGUGGGGAAGAAGGGCUCUGACAGGGUGCACGCAGACAGUCAGGAACAAGCGGUCUUUCAGCCCUUCUCCCUCCCUUCCCUCGCCCACCCCAUCAGAGUUUGGCCCUCACUGACCUGGGAGGAGGAUGGCCUUUGAUUUCUCCUGGUCCCAGAUGGGAUUUUGAAUGGAGCAGAUCACAUUGCCUAUAGCUCUGUCUGUGACCAAAAGAGACGUUUCUAUGUGGAAGAGUCCAUCUCUGUCCAGGGUCUGUGACUCAGAAGAGGACAGUAGAGUGUCCCCGAUGGUGUCUCUCCACUGCACUCUGGGUUUCGGGAACCAGCCACUCGAGGAGCACAACACUCGGAUGCCAUUGUUCUCAGGUCCUGUCAUGUGAACAAGAGGGGCAGAGCCUAAACCUGAGGAGAGAGGACAAGAGCUUGAGGCCUGUGGCCCGAGGGAAGAUGGCCUUCACUACACUGAAGAGGUCAGACAAGACUACCCUGUGACUGACUCUGCCUGACCUCAGCUUUGCAUGUGCGUGGGCUGGCAGAGGUUAAGGAUCAGUCUAGGAAAAGUCAAAACUUGAAAAUUGGCCCAGUUUUUAUUUUCUGUCUUGGUUUACUGAAAGUCAAGGCCAGCGAGUGUCAGCAUUACUACCAAAUAAACUUCCUGGGGUCUUUUAAGACAUCAAAACAGGCUCAGAGGGUUGGGCAAGUGCAUCAGCGAGCAGAGUGUCCGUUGGGCAGACAUGAGGACCAGAGUUCAUGUCCCCGAAGCUGUGUAAAAACCUGGGUGUGGUGGCAGAAGCUCAGGGACCAGACAGGUGGAUGCCUGGGGCUCACUGACUGCUCAGCUAAGCUGAAUUAGUAAGAAGCCAAUGAGAAUCCAGUCUCAAAGGCAUGGUGGACAGUGACUGGGGUUGACCUCUGCCUUCCACACAUACACAUAUCUGUGUAUACACACCUGCAUGCACACACAUGCGCACACACAGGCACAUACACAUAUAUGCACACACAUACAGGCACACACACACAGAGACACACAUGGAGACACAUGCACACCACACACAUGUACACACAUGUAGAGACACACAUGCAUGCACACACACAUGUGCACACACAGGCACAUACACAUAUAUGCACACACAUACAGGCACACACACACAGAGACACACAUGGAGACACAUACACACCACACAUAUGUACACACAUGCACAGACACACACAUGCAUGCACACACACAUGUGCACACAAAGGCACAUACACAUACAUGCACACACAUACAGGCACACACAGAGAAACACAUACACUCACACUUGGAGACACACACUAUACACACACCACACACACACAUAUAUAGUCACACACACACAUGCGCACACGUGCACAUACACACUCACACACGGAGACACCACACACACACAUACACAUACAUGUACACACAUGCACAGCCAUACACAUGCAUGCACACACAUGCACACACGCACGUGCACACACACACACACACACACACCUCUUAGGUUCAAAAAAGCAAAGUCUGUGAUGUUAAACUCUGCCGAGCACAGCCUCAUUCUCAGUGGAUACUGCAGGGAGCAAAUAUCCCACAGAGAUAUCAACACAUCAAGACCCCAGGCAGUUCCAGGUUAAGCGUAAGGAGGAUCAGGAGCAGUUUCCUAUUUGUCACACAUCAUGAUCCUAUGCCAAGCUCACGCACCUACGACCUGAAGUUCUAUGGAGACUUCUUGGGAGGUGAAGCCAUCUGAAAACUGACAGUGGUACAGGCCAUCGUCAGAGGCUUGGACUUGCUGUAUCUGCAGAGCCACACUGCCCGUGUCGAUGUCAUGUCCCAGCAUCUGGGUCCUGCCCUCGUACUCCGGCAUCUGCACCUCUCCCUGCACCUGUCCAUUGUGGAACACCAGCACAGCGGGGGUGAGCUGGGCACGGUACCAUCGGAUGUGCAUGUGAGCUGCACUCUGCUUAGGAGACAGCUGGCAGGGCAGGGUGGCAUCAGUCCCCAGCAGGACCGUGAUGGGCUCAGCUGGUCCCUUCACAGAAAACCAAGACGCUUCUGGGGACCAGAGACAGAUUGUGGAAGCAAGUUAGAGAUAUGAGACUUAAACAAACAACCCUGCAUUUCCAUAUUUAGGGAACUAAACAUAUUUCUCCUUUGUAUUACUUUA